rnacentral:rRNA from 1 species
UCCUACGGGGCGCAGCAGUAGGGAAUAUUGCUCAAUGGGGGAAACCCUGAAGCAGCAACGCCGCGUGGAGGAUGCCGGUUUUCGGCUUGUCCCCUCCUUUUGUUCGCGCCGCUCCUGACGGUAUCUAACGAAUAAGCACCGGCUAACUCCGUGCCAGCAGCCGCGGUAAUACGGAGGGUGCAAGCGUUACUCGGAAUCACUGGGCGUACAGAGCGCGAAGGCGGGAUAGCAAGUC